ACGGAACAACUUGCCCCACUUCCCGAGCGAGCGGAUAAGACGUGUUCCAUAUAACCUCCCUUAAUCCCAAUCCUUCUCCUCCAGCUAGUAAUACAUACUGUCCGCCGAUGGGAAACCACCCCCAAAAUCCUAUGCGAGCAUCUCCAUCUCGAUCUAUCUCUAUUGCUGUCUCCUUCUCCAGGUUCCACCGGUCGUGCUUCGUUCUCAUAUGGGAUUCGGAUUCCAAAGAUUAGGCAAUGAUUUCCGGCGGCGAGACGAACACCAUUGCAUCACCGACCAUUGACGAGCGAGUAAUUUGCUUUGUGGAUCUGUGAUGCUCCGCCUGCCGUUCCUGCCUCUCAUUCACGGACGCUCGCUCCUGGGUAUUCUGCAACAGUGCCAAAUUCCCUGCCCUCACCCAGCUUCGCCUCUCUUAAUCAGACCAGAGGCAAAUCUUCAUUCUUUGUGCAGUGCAAGUAUGACAAGUAUAAAGCCAUGGUUGUACAGAAGAAGGGUUCAUAGAGUAAUCAGAGUAUGUGGUGCAGCCUGGUGACGUCCUUGGUCCUGAGAUUCCCAAUACAAGUGGAUGAUGCAAGGCUUAUAAUAGUCCUACUACAUAUAGUUAGAAAUUAGUGUUUAGAAUUUCAUUUUCACAUAUACACAUCUUGUAUUCAUUGGAUCGUCUUCUUUGUAAAGCUACAAAGCUAAUUCAAUAUAUAAGGUCUUUCCGUUUAUAAUA